CAGUCACCAAAAAUUGAGACGCCUGGAUGGGGGCUGGGCACCGAAUCCUCGGCUCCAGAGGUCCUCUGUCUCUUUUCUCUGCAUUCCAGCCUUUGUCACCCCAGUUGAGUCCAUAACAUGGAGGUGUGCUCAUCAUCAGCAUCGGAAGCUGUCCCCCCAAAUGUUUUUCUUAAACGCAUGAACAGGGAGCGUUUUGGUGUCUGGAAGGAAAAGUACAGUCCCUGAGACCAAAUCCAUCAUGGUAAGUAUCAUAAAAGGAUGGAGAGAGGAGGUGGUAAAGACUUACAAGGAAGAGUCUGUGGGUGACAAAAAGAGAGGAAAACAUAAAGAUGUGAAAGAGGAAACAGAUUACCUUAUGACCCUGACAGUUGUGGUCAGAAUUCUCAUUAUCUGCCAUGUAGUGUUCUGUGUCCAGGGGCAGCCACCAGGUUGGGGAGGCCAUGGGAAAGGAAAGGGGUGAUUUAGAAUCAAGAUGGAACCUCAGGACCAUGAUGCUGCAGGGAGCUCAGUCUCGGGCCCCUUUCUGUCCUCGCCUCCAUGGACCUCCCAGGGCCUCAGCUGGUUCACAUCUACAGUGGAGAAGGUCUCUGAUCCCCAAGAUCCUGCUGCAGCCCUCUGCUUCCCUCAAUGUGACUUGGAAUAAGACCUGUGUCUUCCUGCCUCACACACAGGCUGCCUCUGUCCCCAUGCACCUCAGGGCACACCCUGGCCUUCCUCCAGCACCCCAGCUUCCGACUCCCUCCUUCCUCAUUUCUCUCCUCUAA